rnacentral:misc_RNA from 1 species
GUUGACCACUAUCCAUUUGGCGCGAAUGUAUAUGGCAACCAUCUUGGAAAAAGUGGAAACUUCCAAAAUCGUUGCGGAGAUUGACUUCGUAUGGCAAAUUCUUAACAACAGGGAGCCCAGAAACGUGUCAAAGAGCAAGUUCAAGGACACAAAAUCAUCGUCCAAAGCGACAGUGACUGACAAACAGUCUACUAAAAGCGUUCCUUCCCAAAGUGGUAGACAGGACCAGCAACCAAAAUUGACGGAGCUAGAGAAAAACACCCCACGGUCCGCGCUGACCCAGUCACAGCCCGUUGCCAGCACAAGCAGUGUAAAUGACACGGGUUCUAUGAACACUAAUACUGCAGGAAUGCAAGAAAUGAUGUUAAACUUGGACUGCUAUUCAAGCGAGGACGAAUCGAUGGAUGUUUGUGCUAAAAUAGACGACUUCCUUAAAUCGUCAGAUGACGAAACGGACGAGGUUAAUGUUGUGCCCGCCCAACCGCACUAAAAUGGAAACGGGCCGCGAUGACGAUUAGCUGUCCGAAUGUAUGAGGGAGCUCGUGCAAGAUUUAAGCCAUGAGGAAAGUAUAGACCCGAAAAUGUCAAACGAAAAACUAGCCAAUCUGCUCACAGAUAUGGUGACUAAAAGCAUGUCAGAGGAAAAUGUAAAGGCCAAAUUAGAUGCCUAUCCUCGACCUGAAAACAUGGGGAAUCUCCGGGCGCCUCGGGUGAAUCCCGAAAUAUGGAGGAAACUAAAAACAGACACAAAAAGUCGGGAUAUUCGUGUUCAGAAGGCACAAACGCGUAUCGUGAAAGGUCUUAUUCCGGAGGGUUAAUUCAUAUAUUGACUGAUGUGAAAAAAGACAAAAGCAUUUAGGUUAGAUAAAAAAAACGACGAACUUUUGAAGUUGUCAAUUGACAGUUUUACCCUGAUGUGAAGUGUGGCGUCACAGGAGAUCAGCUUGCGCCGCCGAAAACUGAUUUGGCCUGAUUUAAACAAUCAGUUUGGCUCGCUUUGGUCUAAGUACAACCCGGUCACAACGCAACUGUUUGGCGAUGACCUACCAAAGGCUAUGAAAGACAUAAUCGACACUAACCGAGUGGCUAUUCGGGUGAGCUCGGGUGCGGACUAUACUGGUGGUAGGAAAGAACAAUCAAAGAUUUCCAACAGAGGAAAGUUCCGUGCCAACCCCUACCAGCAUGGUGGAAAUAGGGGGCAUCAUCAUGACGGUUACAAUCAUGGUUGGUGCAAACAGUCCCAGCCACAGAUGUCUGGCAAGAAACCAUGGGAAAAAAAUCAAAAAGGGGUACAGACCCAGUCGGUUUAUGAUGAGCUGGGAGAAGGGCACCCUCAGCCACUCACACCUUACAACUACCAGCCUUCCAAACACAAGACUAAUGGCAUAUCGCCUUUCAGGCAAUCCAUCCAAAGCCUCAAGCUUUCGACGUAAGCUGAACACAUCCUUCUGUCGUUAUGGGAUCAAGGUACUAUGCGGCAGUACAAGACAUACAACACAAUGGUUCCAUUAUUGUAGUGAAAGACAGUCACCCUCUGUGGGAGAUUUUUCAAACUAUUUGACUGAACUUUUUCAAAAAGGAAUUGGGUACAGUGCACUGAACACUGCUAGAUCAGCACUGCCAUCUUUUAUCCGAAUAGAUGGACAACCCUGCGGCAAUAACGUGAACACAAAAGGUUUCUAAAAGGAGUAUUUCAAUUAUGGCCUGCCCUACCGAGGAACAAUGUAACUUGGGACCCUGAAGCUGUUUUGGAAUAUGUUCGCAGCAUGGAUGUGACAACAUUACAAAUGCUAACAUAUAAAACUGUUAUGUUAUUAUCACUUUCCACAGGACAACGUGCUCAGAGCGUACAUGCAUUAAACAUCCAGAAUGAGACACUAAUGGACAAACAGGUGAAAUGUCGAUUUGGAGACAUCCUUAAAACAACAAGACCUGGAUUUCACCAAAGUGAAAUCACUCUGGAAAGGUUCAAUGAAACUCACCUGUGUGUUAUACAAACAUUAAGAGAAUACAUGUACAGAAGGGAGUUGUUGAGGGACAAUUAUGAGAAAACGGGCAAGCUUUUUAUAAGUUUUCAUAAGCCGCACUUGCCAGUCACAAAAUCAACCAUUUUCAGAUGGAUAAAGGAUAUUAAGCUCAAGACAGGGGUUGAUAUGACAAUAUUUACCCCGCACAGCACUAGAGCGUCAUCAACAUCAGCAGCCAUCAACUUUCAACUUACAGGGUUCGCAGGUCUACCAAACAUCGGCGAGAAAGUCCUGGAGAGAAUGCCUGAAAUCAGAAGCACGGAAUUGAUGACGUCACAUGCAAUACACACACUGUGAUGAGUUGUUGUGGAAUUUGAAGAUUUCAAAAAAUAUUCGAUCCUCCUUGAUUUAAACAUAUUUUAUUGCAAAUAAAUAUUUACA